GGUAGCCUGCGGGGUGGGGCGGCAUGAGCGGCCGAUGUCUAAUCUCCUGCCUUUUGGGAGCUGCUGAUUGCUACUACUGGUUCAUUUUUAGGACAGAAAAUGGUUCAGUGGUUGAAACACUGGCGGGUUUCGAAACAGUCAGGACAGUGGGCUGCAAAGUCCAGAUACAAGUGGGCUGCAAACUUCCAUCUUCUGCCCAGUAAAGAGAGUAGGGGCUCCUCUUUGAUUAAAAGGUUUCCAUAGCAAAUGCAUUUGGAUUGAGUUCAGUUUACGAGGCUGUUAGAUGGAAGGUACCCCAUCCUUUUGCUGCUUGUUGGAGGGAAGUAAUUACAACAAUGACUCAGAUGUUGGAUGUCGGUGAUACUUCAGCUCCAAUACAAUUCCAGCCACUCAUCAUCAGCUUCUAGGGUGGAAUGUGCUAUUGCUACACAUAUGGAUAAUUUGACAUGGUAGAGUGAGUGAUUGACGGAGGAAACAUAAGGAGAGAGUCAAAAGACCAGUUGAGCAGAGUGGGUGAUUGACGGAGGAACCAUGAGGAGAGAGUCAAAAGGCCAGUUGAGCAGGCAUUGAGGGCAUGUUGAGAUCAUUUCUUGGUGCAUUUUGUAUCAUUCUAGCCCGUGAGUGUAUCUAAUCUUGCAGUCGAUUGUUUCUAAGGUUUUGACUGGUUGAUUUGCUGAUGUGUCCGCCCUAUGGUUUCAGGUUAAACUUCAAUCCUUCACAAUGUAGUUGUCAUUAUGCAGAAUCUAAGACUGAAGAAAUCGCACUGCUGAUAAUUUAGAUCUCACCCUUGUAAAUAAAGUUGAAUGGGCUGGUAACAUAGUUCUAAAAUUUCAUUAACUCAAAGUAGGCGGUGUUCUUUUUGAAUGGUCUUCUUUCUUCCUCGUAUGUCAAAUGCAAGCAAGCAUGCCUCUGCCGAGGCUUAGAAAUAUCAAGGCGUAUGUGUCCAGGUCACUUUUAUAUACUAAGCAAUACCUUUUCUUCUUUUUGAAUGCACAGACCUGAAAGAGUUCUGUUAUUUUACCCCUUUUUUGUGUAGAUUUCUUCUCACCCAGCAGCUUCUAGAAAGUAGAGUAUAUCGCAACUUCCGAAACUUAUUAAAGAUGAUGGUUCUGAUGUUAAUAUCCAGGAUGAUGCGUUAAGCUCUUUUGAUAAUUUAUCAGAAGAAGAAAGAGCAGAAGAAAAUGGAGGAUCCUAAAAUGACUCAAAUAGAACUAAGAAAUAUCUAUGCCACAAAGCUAGGUAUAUUCAAGGAAAUAAUACGAAGCAUUAUAUUUUGUUUAUAUGCGUAAGUAUACUGACAUGCCGGUAAGCGAUAAUGGUAUUGUUGAACAGUGAACGCAAAUCCAUUUUUUUAGAACAAUCUGUAUGCAUGAGUUGAGCUGGUAUCUAGCUAUGCUAUUUUUAUGCAAGGUGCCGAAGUUCAAUAGCAUUCAUGAUAAUCCCCAACUUUAGUAUCCAGCAAAAGAGGAGGAUAUUUUUGGUGCUACUUAUGGCCGUACUAGCAGAAUAAAUGAUGUAUGCCAUCUAUUAUGACUUGUUCAUCUUGUCUACUGUUACAGCAAUGGGUUAAUUUGCUGGUUUUCCCCUGUUCGUUACAUUCUUUAUUGCUCUACUUAAUGGAAAGCUGUUAAAACUAAAAAAUGGCAACCUGUAGUUACUGGACACAAUGGAUUUGGUACAACACUGGAUCUAUUUUAUUAAUCCAUCAGAAUAAGCAGAACAGACCCCAUGGCAAUUAAAAUGGUGGUUCAGAAUAUAGAGCGACUUAUAUUAUCUGCAUAUAGAAUAGUUUAUUGUAGGCUACACAGAGCAUCGGUUCAGCACAUCUAACAUUUGUUGUUACUAGGAAUGCAUACAGUUAGUUAGUUACUAUUAACUUAUAUAUACUCACAAUGGCCUCAUCUCACAAAAUUGCAUGUGUUGUACUAAAGGCAUCUGAAGUAAUUCUUUUAGAAGGUCCAUGACAAGAGGUGAAUGGUAUAUUGGUAUUGUACAGAGUCUUCAAUCCAAAGGUAUAAAAUUAAUGCAGUGCCAUAAAAAUUUCUACUUGCUAUGGUGCAGUUUCGACUAUGUCAAUAACGUGCGGGUGUGCAUCAUUUACAUUGGUCUAUCAUACAAAAAUGCAGGCUAAUGCUUGCUGGAUAUAGGGACUACUGCAACCCACAUGUAUUACAUUUUAGAUGUCGUUUGUAAUAUCUUUUCUUUUCUGCAAUUCUUAGAACGCUGGAUUUAUCCAACUCCAUUAUGUAUAAAUUAAUUCCUUACUUACACCCUGCAUUCAGAAAUUAUAUUCUAUAGUUACUUAGAAAGAGUAUAUACAUCACCAACUCAUUUUCAGUUGGACAUUUCAUUUUUCAGAAUCACUGUUUGUUUAAUAAUGCUGCAGGUUUUCCUUUGACAGAUUCCAGUUGGUGUCACAGAGCAUAUAUGCUCAUUGGAUUUGUUGAUGUUGAAGCAUCAGCGAGAACACAUGAAUGAGGAAUGAGGGUUCUUAUGAGAUCACAAGAAUGAGGUAUUACACCCGCUCCAAAAGUUUCUCAAAUAUACUCUAAAAAUUUGUUGCAUGUUGUAAGAUGUUUCUGUUGUUCAUUUCUGUUAUUUUUACUUUAAAUCCUAAUACGAAUACAAGAAGUGCCCAUAUUCUUGUGUUCUAUACAAAGUGCCCAUAUUCUUGUGCUGUUCUGACUAAUUCUUUAGACACAUAGAAGUCAUAUCUGGUUUACAACAUAUCUAUCAUUAUGAAAUUAUAGAUAUUACUAUAUCAUCUUAUCCGUCAGUCGCUCUUCCUAAUCCAAAGGAACUUGUGGCCCGGAAAACCAAUUGAAACGAAAUAAUAAUAAAAUUUCCGAAAAAGUUUGUUGUGUAUGCAUGGAAAUACACUAUGAAUUUGCAAAUGUUCAGUGGUAAAAUCUUGAAAGAUGAAGAAGGUAGUUCUUUUUUUAAUUGUAAAGCAUGUACUAGAUGAUAGAGAUGAUAGCAUUUCAAUCUCAGUGUUGCAUAUUACCAUAAGGAUUUACUUAAGGUCAGAACUUUGCUUUAAUAGUUUCUUCUAAACUGGACACAGACUCCAUACCAUGUCUUUGAGAUGGAGUUGUUCGUACUUGUCUCUGUGAAGCCAUUUUCACGCAGGUUCACACACAUUUGUCUUCCACAUAUAGAAAACUAACAGACGUUAGCAUCAGGUUAUUUGUUUUCUUCUGUAAAAGGUAUGGAAGCUUUGGUCUAAUUAACAAAAGCAAGCUUUACUGAGCAAGGCAGACAAAUAAAUAGAAUGACGAUAUGAAUUGAAUCAACACUUUAAAUGCCAGCCAGAUCAAAAGAAAAACAUUUUUUACAUAAUACUUGUUAGGAUUGUAAAAAGAAUGAAGCCCUCCCUGAUGCUAGAUAGAACCUUCUCCAGUACCUAUUUAGUAGUGCACCAACUACUUUGUAGUAUGCAAAAGCAUGAUGGCUCAUCAGCUCCUGAACCAAGUAGGGGAAUAGUUCCCAAAGAUAGACCACCUUAAAUAAGAGUGCAUUUUUUAUUAUUUUAUGAAGCAGAGAGUAUUUUAAUAAGCCGUAAGGUACUAAUUGUUUUCCUAUGUAGCGAAGUAUGAAGAUCGGGCCUCAAAAUUUCAGUACUACUAUCAUUAUCUCGGAUCACAUGAUGUUGGUUGUUGUUAUUAUACAUGCCCUUUUGUGGUCCAUGAGGGAUACAACUAUGUUGGCCCUUAGGAUUGAGGAUUUCAAAUCCGGCUAUAUCAAUAGGAUUGUGCAGAUUAUUUCGAAAGAAACAGUGGUUGCUAUGGUUUGUAUAUUCAAAAGGAAAUGUAUCUGUUUAAGGCAGUGAGGUAUGUCCCAUGUUUACUCAUACACACAUCUCUUGAACUUCCUGCUGGCAA